rnacentral:ncRNA from 1 species
CCUUUGGAGAACUAUAUAAACAAGAGUAAUAAUGAUGAAUUAUAUAAUGAUGAAUUAUGAAAUUGGGUUCGUUAAAUAAGGAA